ACCAGACUCCUACGGGAGGCAGCAGUGGGGAAUAUUGCACAACGGGGGAAACCCUGAUGCAGCGACGCCGCGUGAGUGAAGAAGUAUUUCGGUAUGUAAAGCUCUCUCAGCAGGGAAGAUAAUGACGGUACCUGAGUAAGAAGCCCCGGCUAACUACGUGCCAGCAGCCGCGGUAAUACGUAGGGGGCAAGCGUUAUCCGGAUUUACUGGGUGUAAAGGGAGCGUAGACGGCAUGGCAAGUCUGAAGUGAAAGCCCGGGGCUCAACCGCGGGACUGCUUUGGAAACUGUUAAGCUGGAGUGCAGGAGAGGUAAGUGGAAUUCCUAGUGUAGCGGUGAAAUGCGUAGAUAUUAGGAGGAACACCAGUGGCGAAGGCGGCUUACUGGACUGUAACUGACGUUGAGGCUCGAAAGCGUGGGGAGCAAACAGGAUUAGAUACCCCGGUA
rnacentral:rRNA from 1 species